rnacentral:tRNA from 1 species
GUAGUGUAGUGGUUAUCACGUCUGCGUAACACGCAGAAGGUCCCAGUUCGAGCCUGGGC